rnacentral:rRNA from 1 species
GGAGCAUCCAUGAGUAAAGUGGCGUACGGGUGAGUAACACGUGGAUCAUCUACCUUUUAGUGGGGAAUACCUCCGGGAAACUGGAGACAAUACCGCAUAAGCUCGUAAGAGGAAAGCAGCAAUGCGCUGAAAGAGGAGUCCGCGGCUGAUUAGCUAGAUGGUGAGGUAACGGCCCACCAUGGCAAAGAUCGGUAGCCGGCCUGAGAGGGCUCACGGCCACACUGGCACUGAAACACGGGCCAGACUCCUACGGGAGGCAGCAGUGGGGAAUCUUGCACAAUGGAGGAAACUCUGAUGCAGCGACGCCGCGUGAGCGAUGAAGCCCUUCGGGGUGUAAAGCUCUUUCGACAGGAACGAUAAUGACGGUACCUGGAGAAGAAGCUGCGGCUAACUACGUGCCAGCAGCCGCGGUAAUACGUAGGCAGCAAGCGUUGUUCGGAAUUACUGGGCGUAAAGAGUGUGUAGGCGGUGCUCUAAGUCUGUCGUGAAAUCUCCCGGCUCAACUGGGAGGGUGCGGCGGAAACUGGAGUGCUCGAGGAUGGGAGAGGUAAGCGGAAUUCCUGGUGUAGCGGUGAAAUGCGUAGAUAUCAGGAGGAACACCUGUGGUGUAGACAGCUUACUGGACCAUUUCUGACGCUGAGACACGAAAGCGUGGGUAGCAAACAGGAUUAGAUACCCUGGUAGUCCACGCCCUAAACGAUGCAUACUUGGUGUGAGCGAUUCAUU